GGACCGUGGCUUAGUGGUAGAGUGCUCACCUAGCAUGCAUGAGGUACUGAGUUUGAUCCUCAGCACCA
rnacentral:tRNA from 1 species